rnacentral:rRNA from 1 species
UGGCUGCAGUGAGGAAUAUUGGGCAAUGGAGGCAACUCUGACCCAGCCAUGCCGCGUGCAGGAAGACGGCCCUAUGGGUUGUAAACUGCUUUUAUACGGGAAGAAACACCCCCUCGUGAGGGGGCUUGACGGUACCGUAAGAAUAAGCACCGGCUAACUCCGUGCCAGCAGCCGCGGUAAUACGGAGGGUGCAAGCGUUAUCCGGAAUCAUUGGGUUUAAAGGGUCCGCAGGCGGUCAAUUAAGUCAGAGGUGAAAUCCCAUAGCUUAACUAUGGAACUGCCUUUGAUACUGGUUGACUUGAGUUAUACGGAAGUAGAUAGAAUGUGUAGUGUAGCGGUGAAAUGCAUAGAUAUUACACAGAAUACCGAUUGCGAAGGCAGUCUACUACGUAUAUACUGACGCUCAUGGACGAAAGCGUGGGGAGCGAACGGGAUUAGAUACCCGAGUAGUC